AGCCAGACUCCUACGGGAGGCAGCAGUGGGGAAUAUUGCACAAUGGGGGAAACCCUGAUGCAGCAACGCCGCGUGAGUGAAGAAGUCCUUCGUGGUGUAAAGCUCUAUCAGCAGGGAAGAAAAUGACGGUACCUGAGUAAGAAGCCCCGGCUAACUACGUGCCAGCAGCCGCGGUAAUACGUAGGGGGCAAGCGUUAUCCGGAUUUACUGGGUGUAAAGGGAGCGUAGACGGAAGUGCAAGUCUGGAGUGAAAGGCGGGGGCUCAACCCCCGGACUGCUCUGGAAACUGUACGGCUGGAGUGCAGGAGAGGUAAGUGGAAUUCCUAGUGUAGCGGUGAAAUGCGUAGAUAUUAGGAGGAACACCAGUGGCGAAGGCGGCCUGCUGGACGAUGACUGACGUUGAGGCUCGAAAGCGUGGGGAGCAAACAGGAUUAGAUACCCCUGUAC
rnacentral:rRNA from 1 species